GUCCCUGUAGCGCAAUGGAUAGCGCGUUGGACUUCUAAUCCAAAGAUCGUGGGUUUGAUGCCUGCUGGGACG